rnacentral:rRNA from 1 species
AUUGAACGCUGGCGGCAGGCCUAACACAUGCAAUCGAACGAGUGGCGGACGGGUGAGUAAUGUCUGGGAAACUGCCCGAUGGAGGGGGCUAACUCCUGGAAACGGUAGCUAAUACCGCAUACCAUCGGAUGUUCCCAGAUGGAAUUAGCUAGUAGGCGGGGUAACGGCUCACCCAGGCGACGAUCCCUAGCCGGUCGGAGAGGAUGACCAGCCACACGGGAACUGAGACACGGUCCAGACUCCUACGGGAGGCAGCAGUGGGGACUAUUGGCCAAUGGGAGCAAGCCUGAUGCAGCCAUGCCGCGUGUAUGAAGAAGGCCUUCGGGUUGUAAAGUACUUUCAGCGAGGAGGCGUUACUCGCAGAAGAAGCACCGGCUAACUCCGUGCCAGCAGCCGCGGUAAUAC